rnacentral:lncRNA from 1 species
GCAUUUCUAUAAAUACAAGAUGCCAGGUUACAAAGUUAAAGUGCAGACCAAUCAGGUGGGACCAGUCAGGGAAGACUUGUCCCAGAAGACUAGAUGCAGAAAUGAGUGAAGGCUGGGAAGCACAUGGUGGAGAAGAAAGGAUCUCAUUUCUUCGCCCAGGCUGGAGUCCAAUGGUGUUAUUUCAGCUCACUGCAAACUCUACUUCCUAGGUUCAAGCAACUGCCCUGCCUCAGCCUCCCCAGUAGUUGGGAUUACAGACACGUACCACCAUACCCAGCUAAUUUUUGUAUUUUUAGUAGAGACGGGGUUUUCAUCGUGUUGGUCAGGCUGGUCUCGAACUCCUGGCCUCAAAUGAUCCACCUGCCUCAGCCUCCCAAAGUGCUGGGAUUACAGGCAUGAGCCACUGCACCUGGCUGGAAACGUAUCUUUCUAAAUGGACCUUAAGGUUAAAGCUCAUGGUAUCUGUUAAGUCACUGUAAAGGAGAAUGAUAUAGUGGUUAAGAGUGUUUAUGCUGGAAUCAUCUGGA